rnacentral:ncRNA from 1 species
GAGCCGUGUGAGGGGAAACUUUCACGCACGGUUCUGAAUGGGAGGGGAUGGAGGCGACUCCAUUCUCGACCCCUACUCCAU